rnacentral:rRNA from 1 species
GACGAACGCUGGCGGCGUGCUUAACACAUGCCAGUCGAACGGAAAGACCCUGCUUUUGUGGGGUGCUCGAGUGGCGAACGGGUGAGUAACACGUGAGUAAAAUGCCCUUGACUUUGGGAUAACUUCAGGAAACUGGGGCUAAUACAGGAUAGGAGAUCCUGCUGCAUGGUGGGGGUUGGUAAGAUUCGGCGGUUGGGGAUGGACUGGCGGCUUAUCAGCUUGUUGGGCGGGUAGUGGCUUACCAAGCGUUUGAAGGGUAGCCGGCCUGGGAGGUUGGCCGGCGUCAAGGGGACUGCGGUACGGACCAGACGCGUACGUUCGGCAACAGUCGGGAAUAUUGCGCAGUGGGCGGAAGUCUGAGGCAGCAGUGCCGCGUGCGUGAUGACCUGUUACGAGGUGUGAACAGCUUUCGAAGGAGACGUAGAGGUAUUGACGGUAAUUAGUAAAGAAGCAACGGCUAACUACGUG